GACGAACGCUGGCGGCGCGCCUAACACAUGCAGGUCGAACGGAGUCAAGAGGAGCUUGCUUUUCUUGACUUAGUGGCGAACGGGUGAGUAACGCGUGAGUAACCUGCCCUGGAGUGGGGGACAACAGUUGGAAACGACUGCUAAUACCGCAUAAGCCCACGGAUCCGCAUGGAUCUGCGGGAAAAGGAUUUAUUCGCUUCAGGAUGGACUCGCGUCCAAUUAGCUAGUUGGUGAGGUAACGGCCCACCAAGGCGACGAUUGGUAGCCGGACUGAGAGGUUGAACGGCCACAUUGGGACUGAGACACGGCCCAGACUCCUACGGGAGGCAGCAGUGGGGGAUAUUGCACAAUGGGGGAAACCCUGAUGCAGCGACGCCGCGUGGAGGAAGAAGGUUUUCGGAUUGUAAACUCCUGUCGUUAGGGACGAUAAUGACGGUACCUAACAAGAAAGCACCGGCUAACUACGUG
rnacentral:rRNA from 1 species